rnacentral:rRNA from 1 species
AUUGAACGCUGGCGGCAUGCUUUACACAUGCAAGUCGAACGGUAACAGGCCGCAAGGUGCUGACGAGUGGCGAACGGGUGCGUAAUGCAUCGGAACGUGCCCAGUCGUGGGGGUUAACUACUCGAAAGAGUAGCUAAUACCGCAUACGAUCUAUGGAUGAAAGCGGGGGACCGUAAGGCCUCGCGCGAUUGGAGCGGCCGAUGUCAGAUUAGGUAGUUGGUGGGGUAAAGGCUCACCAAGCCAACGAUCUGUAGCUGGUCUGAGAGGACGACCAGCCACACUGGGACUGAGACACGGCCCAGACUCCUACGGGAGGCAGCAGUGGGGAAUUUUGGACAAUGGGCGCAAGCCUGAUCCAGCAAUGCCGCGUGCAGGAAGAAGGCCUUCGGGUUGUAAACUGCUUUUGUACGGAACGAAACGGCUCUGGUUAAUACCCGGGGCUAAUGACGGUACCGUAAGAAUAAGCACCGGCUAACUACGUG